rnacentral:lncRNA from 10 species
AGAGAGAGGGAGCUGAAAGAUUGUUUUGUCUGAUGUGUACACUUUUAUUCAACUGGUCUCAAGUUAGUGUACAGGUAAGUCCUGGCUGCAUCCACGCACUUCCAGGGAGACCAAAAGCCUUCAUACAUCUUAAGUUGGGGGAAAAGAAAUGGGGAGCCACGAAGGCUGAUCAUUCAAAAUAAAACAAAGUAAAAAAGUAUUAAGGUGAAGAUUUUUUAAAAAUUGUAUUACAUAAUUUACACGAAAGCAAUGCUAUCACCUCCCCUGUGUGGACUCCGGAGAGGACUGGGCCAUUCUCCUUAGAGAGAAGUGAGGUGGCUUUUAGGAGGGCAAGGGACUUCCUGUAACAAUGCAUCCCAUGAUAUUUGGAAUGACUAUCAAAAAAAAGAACAACGUACAAUCAAAGUCCUCGGCCACAUUGUAGAACUUUGGGGGAUGCUCGCUCCAACCGACUGCUGUCACCUUCACCGUUCCAGUUUUUAAAUCCUGAGUCAAGCCAAAAGAAAACUCCAGCCACAAAAAAAACAAAGUCACACCAAUCUCAUCUUGUUUUUAGUGCAAGUUAGGUUUUGUCAAGAAAGAGUGUAAUGCAACUAAGUCACAGUCCACCUAGAAGCAUUUGCGGUGGACGAUGGAGGGGCUGGACUCACUGUACUCCUGCUUGCUGAUCCACAUCUGCU